AUUUAUUUAGUAUAUAUAUAGUAUAGUUGACUUCCAAUCAAAAAGUCUUAUUUAAGAAUAAAUA
rnacentral:tRNA from 1 species